rnacentral:rRNA from 1 species
AAUGAGGCGGGCUGGAACCUCUCGGGGUUACAGCCUUGCUGAAUUAUUCACCCUUGUCUUUUGCGUACUUCUUGUUUCCUUGGUGGGUUCGCCCACCACUAGGACAAACAUAAACCUUUUGUAAUUGCAAUCAGCGUCAGUAACAAAUUAAUAAUUACAACUUUCAACAACGGAUCUCUUGGUUCUGGCAUCGAUGAAGAACGCAGCGAAAUGCGAUAAGUAGUGUGAAUUGCAGAAUUCAGUGAAUCAUCGAAUCUUUGAACGCACAUUGCGCCCUUUGGUAUUCCAAAGGGCAUGCCUGUUCGAGCGUCAUUUGUACCCUCAAGCUUUGCUUGGUGUUGGGCGUCUUGUCUCUAGCUUUGCUGGAGACUCGCCUUAAAGUAAUUGGCAGCCGGCCUACUGGUUUCGGAGCGCAGCACAAGUCGCACUCUCUAUCAGCAAAGGUCUAGCAUCCAUUAAGCCUUUUUUUCAACUUUUGACCUCGGAUCAGGUAGGGAUACCCGCUGAACUUAAGCAUAUCAAAA